rnacentral:rRNA from 1 species
GAUUAACGCUGGCGGCGCACAUAAGACAUGCAAGUCGAACGGACUUAAUCGAUUCUUUUAGAUUCGAAGCGGUUAGUGGCGGACUGGUGAGUAACACGUAAGCAACCUGCCUAUUAGAGGGGAAUAACAGUGAGAAAUCAUUGCUAAUACCGCAUAAGCUAGAGACACCGCAUGGAGUAGCUAGAAAAGGAGAAAUCCGCUAAUAGAUGGGCUUGCGUCUGAUUAGCUAGUUGGUGGGGCAACGGCCUACCAAGGCGACGAUCAGUAGCCGGACUGAGAGGUUGAACGGCCACAUUGGGACUGAGAUACGGCCCAG